GGGAACACCAAGCAAGAGCCUCACUAUCUCCCAAAUCCACUGCAGGCAACAAUCACACACCGCCUCACUCACGCACUGCUAGAUGCCCACUCAGGCACGUAUAGGCUUCCAACAAUCCUAACACUAAAGCAACACACUAUUUACAGGGCAGCUACUCAAAACUACUACACGCCACAGGGCCCACUCCUCACCAUCCAGUGUCUUCACAGCCCCAAAGAACACCACAGAACCCAAUCAGAUCUUUCCAGUAGGAUCUCCGGCACAAGAUCUAGUAGCUACUAAGAUGCAAAAUGCCCAGCGACACACCUUAACACUAAAGGUACAUAGCAGGUACCAGAGAUACAGCUCACAGUGACCAUCAGGUAAUACUGCACUAAAUAAUAUUUAUUCCUGAUUUACAGCUCCCAUAAUACAACUUGAG